rnacentral:rRNA from 1 species
GAUGAACGCUAGCUACAGGCUUAACACAUGCAAGUCGAGGGGAAACGGCAUUGAGUGCUUGCACUCUUUGGACGUCGACCGGCGCACGGGUGAGUAACACGUAUCCCACCUUCCCAUUACUGUGGGAUAACCUACCGAAAGGCAGACUAAUACCGCAUAGUCUUCGAUGACGGCAUCAGAUUUGAAGUAAAGUUUUAUCGGUAAUGGAUGGGGAUGCGUCUGAUUAGCUUGUUGGCGAGGUAACGGCACACCAAGGCGACGAUCAGUAGGGGUGCUGAGAGUAAGGCACACCAGAUCGGAAACGAGAUCCAGACCAAUACCGUACGCAAGGGAGCGGUGACGUACACAGGUCAAGGGAGGCAAGUCGGAACCAGCCAAGUAGCGUGCAGAAUGCCGGCGCUAGGGGUUGUAAACUGCUUGUGUAUGAGGAUAAAGUUAGGAACUAGUCACUACUUGAAGGUACCAUAUGAAUAAGGCACGGCUAAUUCCGUG